AUCAUAACUGUCACUGACGUUUUUUUUUUUUUUUUUUUUUUUUUUUUUCCCCUUUCUUUCUUUAAUCAAAAUUGUUUUUAACUUUGGCAGGGAUGUCAGUUGUUGGAAAAUUCGAAUUUAUUUUGCUUGCUUUUUUAUUCUGAAACUUUAAAAUCCUGCAAAAUUUCAAAUGUAAAUUGAGAUCAGCAUCGGAGCUAAGAAAGUGAAGCGUGUGUUUAAAAUAUUUUUGAAUAAUGAGCAUUCUUUUCCAUUUAAAAAAGUAUCAGUGAAUUGCAUAAACUGAGCAGUCUACAGUUUCCAUAUUGUACAGCUGUCAAAAUACAUUUACUAUGCACAUACCUGGGUUGUCAUGUAAAUACUUUUUGCUGAUGUCGUAGAUUGACAGGUAACUAUUUUGGCAGCAUAUCUCUUUCCCCCAUGAAAAUUUCGGACUGCAAAUGCUCAGAAAGUACCAUAAUACUAUAUAAAAUAUUAAAAAUAAUGUAUAACUUGGAUUUUUGAUAAUUCAGUUAAUAAAAUAGUUGUCACUUUCUGAUUAUCUGCAUUCCUCAGUUUCAGCUUUCAGUGGAACUGCGUAUUUUUGGAGUUAUUUUCAAGUAUAUAUGUGAUAACAAAUAACCACACAUAAUAAGCAGUGAUAAAGAAUUAGCUGCUAAAAAUGUUGCAGGUAAAAAAAGGUAAAAUAAAUAAAUAAAUAAAUAAAAAAUAAAAAGGAAAUUGAUACAAUAUUUGACAAUCUAGAAUUUUAAAAUGCUAUUUUUCAAGUUCCCAGAUUAUCAAUUCUCAGAAUGAAAGUAACAUAAAAUAAUAAGCUAACAGAUACACGCAGAACUUUAGUACAUGCAUUUAUUCAUAUAUGUGUUUAUCUGCUUAUAUUGUGUUUAUAAAUUAUUGGUAAAAAAAAGUUUAUUUUCAGUUAGUUGUAGUUUGAGUUAAAUGUAAGAUGUAUUUUUUUUUUUUUUUUCUUUUGUGAGUGCAAACUUAUUGAAUCAGGUAACAGUGUAGAAGUUUAAAAGUAUGAAAAAUGCAGCCAGACAUCAACAAAGCUUUGAAAAUCAUCUUAGUGCUAGAAGAUAUUUCAUAUUGCAGUUUCUAUACAAACACUACAUAUUUCCAGUAAUAAUAGAUACGCUGAUUGUGGAUUAAAUAUGUAGUACUGAUAAGGUAGAGUGAAGAAAUGAUCAAAGUGAUGUAUUUUACACUAGUAAAUGUAUAUUAAAUUAAAUAAAAGUAUCAGACUGAGAUCUGUGAAACUUGCAUGUUGCAUACAGAUGCAGAUCUGUGGCUAAAUAGUAAAAGUGCCUAAAUGCUGGUAAUUUGACAUGGAUACACAUCCUUGUGAAUGGACUGGCUGCAUAUAAGUUUUUGGGGUUUUCCUAAUGUGUAAUGUGAAUACUACCCAGUUUCCAUUAAAAACUCCUCCAUGAAGGCAACAUUUCUUUUAGAUAGAUAGCCUUCCUAAAAAUCCAAUUGCCUACUACGGUAAAUUUGCUGAAUACUGGUAAGUUUGACCUUAGUUUAAAUCCCACAGAAGGAACUAGCUAAAUGGGAGUUUCUUUGUUUUACUUAUGUGUAACAUGAAUAGAGCCAAUUUCCUGUUACAAGCUCUCUGUGAAGACUUUCUUCCCUUUAGGCAGGUGGCCUUAGUGUGCUUUACCAUAAUCCGCAAAAACAGCUUGCCUUUUUAUAACAGAAUCAGUCCUUGUUGUUAUUUUUUUUUCGAUUGAGUACAGAGUUCAAAGUUGGCAGACCUUCUUUCAUUUAUAUACCGUAUAUGUCUAAAUGUAAGCCAAUCUGUGUAUAAGCUAAGAUUGCUUUUUUUUUAAAUUUAUCCAAACCUGUUUAUAAAUUGAAAUGAAGAAAAAAAAUGUAUCAUUCAAACAUGUCACCAUAAGAGCAAAAAUCUUGUCAAGCAGGUAAAACAGGUACUUAUGUAUUAUCACAACUACCUUGGUGAAGUUUGGCAAAUUUUAUGGAAGAAGAAAAACAGUUACUUGAUUGUUUAAAAAAAAAAAAAAAAAAAAAAAAAAA